rnacentral:rRNA from 1 species
UACGUAGGGGGCUAGCGUUGUCCGGAAUCAUUGGGCGUAAAGAGCGCGUAGGCGGCCAGACAAGUCCGGUGUGAAAGUCACAGGCUCAACCUGUGAAUGCCGCUGGAAACUGUCUGGCUAGAGUCCGGAAGGGGCGAGUGGAAUUCCUGGUGUAGCGGUGAAAUGCGCAGAUAUCGGGAAGAACACCCGUGGCUAAGGCGGCUCUCUAGUACGGUACUGACGCUGAGACGCGAAAGCGUGGGGAGCGAACAGG